rnacentral:rRNA from 1 species
GUGGGGAAUUUUGGACAAUGGGGGCAACCCUGAUCCAGCCAUGCCGCGUGCGGGAAGAAGGCCUUCGGGUUGUAAACCGCUUUUGUCAGGGAAGAAAUCCUUUGGGUUAAUACCUCGGAGGGAUGACGGUACCUGAAGAAUAAACACCGGCUAACUACGUGCCAGCAGCCGCGGUAAUACGUAGGGUGCGAGCGUUAAUCGGAAUUACUGGGCGUAAAGCGUGCGCAGGCGGUUUUGUAAGAUCGAUGUGAAAUCCCCGGGCUCAAACUGGGAACUGCAUUGGUGACUGCAAGGCUGGAGUGCGGCAGAGGGGGAUGGAAUUCCGCGUGUAGCAGUGAAAUGCGUAGAUAUGCGGAGGAACACCGAUGGCGAAGGCAAUCCCCUGGGCCUGCACUGACGCUCAUGCACGAAAGCGUGGGGAGCAAACAGGAUUAGAAACCCGGGUAGUCC